rnacentral:rRNA from 1 species
GUGAGUAACGCGUGGGAACGUACCUUUUGGUUCGGAACAACUGAGGGAAACUUCAGCUAAUACCGGAUAAGCCCUUACGGGGAAAGAUUUAUCGCCGAAAGAUCGGCCCGCGUCUGAUUAGCUAGUUGGUGAGGUAAUGGCUCACCAAGGCGACGAUCAGUAGCUGGUCUGAGAGGAUGAUCAGCCACAUUGGGACUGAGACACGGCCCAAACUCCUACGGGAGGCAGCAGUGGGGAAUAUUGGACAAUGGGCGCAAGCCUGAUCCAGCCAUGCCGCGUGAGUGAUGAAGGCCCUAGGGUUGUAAAGCUCUUUUGUGCGGGAAGAUAAUGACGGUACCGCAAGAAUAAGCCCCGGCUAACUUCGUGCCAGCAGCCGCGGUAAUACGAAGGGGGCUAGCGUUGCUCGGAAUCACUGGGCGUAAAGGGUGCGUAGGCGGGUCUUUAAGUCAGGGGUGAAAUCCUGGAGCUCAACUCCAGAACUGCCUUUGAUACUGAAGAUCUUGAGU